GACGAACCGUGCGAACGUUAAUCGGAUUCAUUGGGCUUAAAGGGCGCGUAGGCGGCGACGUAAGUUCGUGGUGAAAUCCCAUCGGCUCAACCGUGGAAUUGCUUCGAAUACUGCGUCGCUCGAGGGAGAUAGGGGACCGCAGAACUGCCGGUGGAGCGGUGAAAUGUGUUGAUAUCGGCGGGAAUGCCAGUGCCGAAAGGGGCGGUCUGGACCUCUUCUGACGCUGAGGCGCGAAAGCUAGGGGAGCGAACGGG
rnacentral:rRNA from 1 species